rnacentral:lncRNA from 1 species
ACAUUCAUAGAUCAAUACAGUUACGGUAACCACAGUGGAAGAAAAUUUUAAAAUUUUUAAUUUAACCAAAAUAUAUUGAUUCUAAAUCAUAAUCAAAUCUAAAAUCAUCUAACAUGCAUAAAUAAAUUUAUGAACAUAGAUUUGAAAUCAUAAACAGUAAGAAGAAAGUAUACCUAAUCGCUUUUCCCUCCUCCUUUAUC